AAUAUAUUUGUCUUAUAUGUGAUUCGUUUAUAACUAGAUUAAUAUGGCUUGUUGCAUAUCUUAUAUUUAUAUAAAGGAGGGUCUCGGGAGGCUGACGUGGCGCUCUCCAGAUCUCCUGUUCUGUUUCCCUGAAUUUCUAAGAUUUUACUGUUUAUUAUUAUUAUUAUUAUUUUUUAUUAAUUGGAAUCCCAGGAGUUGAAAGGUCUUGCUGUUAAAUGUUGACCUUUACUGCUUCAGUUGCUAGAAUCUCAGUAGUUUCAGGCGCCUCCUCAAUAUCUCAUUCUUCAUCUCUGCUUUUGCUGCCGUAAUUUUUCCUUGCUCUUACCUGUGGAUUGUUUUAGAUCGGUGUACAAUCUAGGUUAGGCAAAAUUGUACACUCGAAGAAGAACUCUAGGUACUCUGUUGCUGCUGUUGCUCUGCUAUUUAUGCAAGAUGAAGACAAGCCUCAUGGCAGUGCUUAUCUAAGUUUGUCGCCUAUAGGCCCUGUGCACAAGACAAUUUCAGCAAGGAACAUUCGUGGUAAUUGUACCUUCUGCAGGUUCACUGCAAGAAGAGAAGAAUACAUCGAGGUACUUGGUGGUCAAUCAGGUCUUCGUCAAAAUAUAUGAUGAGGUAUGGUUAUAUAUAUUCCUUGACCUAAUCUUUAUCUCAUGAAUUAUAUAUUGCAAUCAUUUUCAUUAGUUCAGAAGAAAGUGGCUAUUUACUAAAGUUGCUGCAUCAAAUGGCUAGAAUAUAUCUUGGCUGGAUCGAAGUUCUUGAGAACUUGAAGUGGCAUGUCUCAAAUCCCUCUAAUCAUAUUCUCUGAUUUUCUAGCUUUUUAUAUUUAUCGUUUCAGGUGGAUGGCCAAGUGCACCCCAUGGUCCAUAUGCAUGGGAUAUUGCUUUAUCGCGGAGAGAAACAAUCCGGGUACAAUAUGUCAAAACUGUGCAUUUAAUAGAAGCUUACGAUUACACCAGAACCUUGAUAUCUUAAAUCAUAAACUAAAAGUUAGUGUUGUAAUCAUGUUUUAUGUCAUCUUAAGUUAUCAACAAACGCAUAUAAAUUAUGCAUUCAAUUUAAGGUUAGAUGGGUUAUAAAAGAAAAGAGCAGGGAGGAGGUAAAUGUAGCAAAUUGUUCAUCUGUUUCUGAAUGUUGGCCUUUUUUUUGCACUGAUCUGUUUGGUCCCCUGGCUCAAAUGAGGCUACCAAAUAAUCACACAGUCUCUCUUUUAUAGAUCAUUACCUAGCAUAUACAUUUGCAUAUACAAAUUAUAAAUUAAUAAUGUAAUUCUGGCUAUUUCUCAUCUCGCUAGCUUGCUGAAUCUGCAGCAGGCAGUCGCGAGCGAGUGCAUAUAUGUUGCCUCUGUGUCUGUGUUUUGGACUUCUGUGGGGGGGCGCAUCUUGCUUUCUUGUAUUCAAUUAUUCCUCUUGAUUUAUGAUUUCACAGCUUUCACAAAAGAGUUUACUUGUAUACUUGAAGCAUAUGGGAACCUUUGUUGAGCCUAUGCUUGACUUUUGUCACAUAAAGGUAAUAAGCCCUUUUUCGUCCUCUCAUCAAACUUCCGGUUAUUUAUGUCAACAAUGCUGUAUUUUCUGAGGUGAAAAUUGUUGUGUUGAAACUCAACUAUUUUUUUUUUUGUUCAUUUAGGAUUAUUUGUGUUGUUUAUUUUCAGGGUAAUUUAUGAGAGUGAAUCUGAUUUGGUCUCAAGGACAAUUAAAAGGAGUGCGGCUGAGAAUGUCGCAGGUAUUGGCAACUCAUCUUUGAUACUGGCCGAGGCCAGAACUUACGGAAAAGAUCCAUAUGACAGUUGGUGGUAUGAUUAUAUGGCAGUGAAUUGAAAUGCAGGAAUCAAGAGGAGCUCCUGCCACAAAGCCACCACCUGAUUAUUUUAUAUGAGAAAGAUUUAUUGAGGUGAUGCCAGUUCUCGGCUUAAUGACUCUACAUCCAAAUGUACACUCUCGCCAAGGGGCAUUCUUGAGAUAGGCUGAAUGGAAGAAACCAUUUUUUUCCUUUAUGAUUAGUGUAUAUGUGUAGAGAAUGCUUCUUCAUUAACCCUUGACUGAUAUGUUCUUAUUUUCUUCUUCCUUUAAAUCAUUUACUUGUAGUUGUAGUCUGUGCUAGGUAGCAAUUUGUUUGUUACAUAUUGCGUGUAGCAAAUUUGGACCUGUAACCAGGCUCUUUGAAUGAUGUAUUUCAUAUAGAUCCUGCAGUCAGGGCUGUAUUACUGUUUUGUUCAGCUUUCCUUUUUUUGGAAGUCUGGGAUAUGAACAAUUAAGGCGGUUUUAUUU